CUACGGGCGGCACCAGUGGGGAAUUUUGCGCAAUGGGGGAAACCCUGACGCAGCAAUACCGCGUGAGUGAAGAGGGCCCUUGGGUCGUAAAGCUCUUUGUAUAGGGGAAGAUAAUGACGGUACCCUAUGAAUAAGCACCGGCUAACUCCGUGCCAGCAGCCGCGGUAAUACGGAGGGUGCAAGCGUUGUUCGGAUUUACUGGGCGUAAAGGGCGCGUAGGCGGAUUUAUAAGCAAAGGGUGAAAUCCCGGGGCUCAACCCCGGAACUGCUCUUUGAACUGUGAGUCUAGAGAAUGUCAGAGGCAAGUGGAAUUCCUGGUGUAGAGGUGAAAUUCGUAGAUAUCAGGAGGAACACCGGCGGCGAAGGCGGCUUGCUGGGGCAUUUCUGACGCUGAGGCGCGAAAGCGUGGGGAGCAAACAGGAUUAGAUACCCUCGUAGUC
rnacentral:rRNA from 1 species